GUUGGGGAAGCUUCGCAUCUCGAAUCGCUGCCCCACCGCCAGUUUCUUCCUCAACUGAAACGGCUGCAUCAAAACUCAGCUCAUAGGAGUGCGGCGUCGGAUUUGUCCAGGCGGCGGUGCUGUCUCUUACAUUCGAGAUCACCGAGGAACGUUCAUCAGCGGCGUUGAACUCCGCAGCUCGCGCAUGCGGCCGCUGCAUCGCCAAUAAUGCCCCUUUGGUUGUCUUCGUUACCGGCGGAUAUAUCGGUAUCCGCUAUCCUGUCCAGCGUGGCCACCGCCACGGUCACUGCCGCAUCCUUCUUCUUAAUCUACAAGUCUCACCUCUUCCCCAACAAGGAGAACCUCAUAACACUCCACCAAGAACAACCGAAACGCAAUCCACGUGGCAAGAUCCUGUUCGUUUCGCGAAUCGGAUUUCCAACUUCAGAAGGCCUAGCGAAGCGCCUCUGCAAUUUGUUAGAGUCGAAAGGCCUCGUUUUGGAGGUCGUAGAUGCUCGGACUUACGAUCCCGAAGAUCUACCCAAGGAGAACCUCAUCCUCCUCGUUGAUUCAACUCCGCAUUUUUGGAAUCAACCUCCCCGACGGUGCGCCUACGAAAAGGACGACGACAAAGGAGCAAAGGUCUUCGCCAGUUGGCUCGUUCAUAACGCGGAGAGCUUUGGGAUCGGAGCGGUUGUUGUGAAGGCUUGCGAUUUCACUGCAUUUGUCGUGGGCAAAAGGGAUGGUAAGAAUUUGAUGGCUAAGGCCGCCAAUCAUUUUAGGGAUUUGGAUCACGUUGAAUACUAUUACCAUUUUAAAGAGUGGUGGGAAAGCGUUGUUGCGACGGUUUCAGGAGAUACGGUUGAUAAUGGCAUGUGCGGGGAAUCUGAACCUGAGGAUGAUGUUGGUUGUUCUGAUCCAAAAAGCAUAUAUAUGUUGGUGGAAAAUGUGGAUGUAGUAGAUGGAAAAAGAACCUUCAGGCGCAGGAUGUUAACUAUCACGGAGGCCAACUUUAUGAAGAAUGGAAGUGUUGAUCUUGAAGAUGGAGGUCCUGUGACUGCCCAAUGGCCUGUUGGAGACGAUCUAAUAAUCGAUUCCAACUUACCAACUUUUCAAGGAUUUUGUUCCCUUGGUGGUAGCUUGUUCAUUGCUGGUGGUAUCAUGUGUAACAAUGGAGCAAAAUUUGAAUUUGAGCUAAAAUUGGAACAUUUUUUCCCUGCAAAAAUGUGGUGCCUCAAGUAUGACGGUUCAACCUGGAUUUGGAGUUUAUGCGGAAGCAUGUUCUACCACCGGAUGGAUCCCACAGUAGUCCCAUACCAUGGCAAGUUGUGCAUCUUUGGGGGUGACAUUGGAGGUGGAUGUUGGGUUGAAAUCUAUGAUCCAAAAUCAGAUUUAUGGGAAAAAAGGGAAGUGUCCGAUGAUACGUACGUAAGCCAGACUCCUAAAUCUUACUUUUUGUGGGAGGACAGAACGGAGCCUCGUAAAAAGACCUUCGUUAUGUUUUAUUUUUCUUCUGGUAAGGAUCAGUGGCUCAGCUCAUAUGACUUCGAGGCCAACCUUUGGGAAUCCUAUUACUGCCAAUUACCACCAAGUCGUGAUUCUUCUCCUAAGAAACUCAUUCGUUUGGCAUGUAGUAAUUAUCUCCUCAUUGUUGACUCUGCCCAUAUGUGGUACAUUUAUGACUUUUCCGAGAGGAAUCUCGUGGCAGAUGUGCGCGUCAAUGGUUUGGAAGAGCUGACUGGACGGGUGUCAUAUGUUUUCUGUUGCCACUGCACCAGCGAAGAAAGUCUGAUGUAUGUCUUCAUGGAACUAGAUGAAAAGGUUGUUGAAGAACAUGGUGGUGAUCCUGACCUUGUUCCUUAUGCUAGAGUCAAGCUCCAAAUGAAUGGUAAUUUUUUCGCCAAGGUUGAAUCCAAGGGUAAUCUUAAAGUUGGUCCCUAUAGCAAACUCUAUAUGUUUGCUGUUGGAGACCAAGACACCAAAUUAAAUGGAGGAUUGUAGCUUAGUUUUGUGCAUCAUACUGGUGGUGACAUCAUUCAUUUUCGGAGAAGCGGUCAAGGACCCAUACAUUGAAGCCUAAUUGCUAAAUACAAAUUUGAAGAACUCAUUCUCACAAAGGAAAGGAAGGAUGAAUGAAGGAAUGGAGAUGAUUAGUUUGGCUAAUGAGUUUGUCAUUGACGGAUAAAUGUAAUAUUAGAAAAAAUUGUAAACAAAUUAAUGAAAAAGAGAUGCAUAUCUUGUAUUGGAUCCGGGAAUAAAUUUUGUUUCUAAUGAAGAGAAAAAAAAUGAGGUUUUCUUUUUUUUACAGAC